rnacentral:lncRNA from 1 species
GAGAGGUCAGAAAAGGGAGAAUUAUCAUAGAGCAGAGUUUCCAGGCAAGAGAAUCCUAAGUGAGAGGUGGUCAUGGGGUAUACACCUUGGCUGUGGCCAUCUCUGGGGCCUUGGUGAGAAAGAUGAGCCAGCCCAGGAGGGGGAAAGGAAUGGGUGGGUGGCUGGAUAGAGGUCCCAGGUCCUGGAGGCAGACUCAGGGGCAGACACAUCGAGGCCCAUCGCAUCCUGCUGGCUGCGUCCUGCGAUUACUUCAGGUGAGUUCACUAGAGCUGUUUGUAAGAAGAAUAACAAAGGUAAUCCUGGCUCUGCUAGUAAAGGUACUGGCGGUGACAGUGGCUGGUCUCCUGCUCACCUCAGAGCCUCCCCUACUCCUUGUGGCUAUGACUUAGUCAACAAGUGUGAGAGACAGAAGGGGGUCUUAGAGUUCAUUUUUCAUUCAGUGAUCCUGUUUCUUGGGCUUUGCCUCCUCUUCUCUUCCCUCUCUUCUCUUCCUUUUCUUUUCCUUUUCUCUCUCUUUUCUUUUCUCUUUUCUUUCCUCCUUUCUCUCCUCCCCUCCCUUACCAUUCCUCCCCUCCGUCAGUAAUUAUUGCUGUGUAUGCAUCACCUUCUGGCUCACACCUCUCAUCCCUCAGGUGUUAGCCUCUGGCCCUCCCAGUGAGCUCUGUGGCCCCUCUGGGGUUUCUUAUGGCCUCCUUCGUGACCCCAUCC